UGGGGAAUAUUGCACAAUGGGCGCAAGCCUGAUGCAGCCAUGCCGCGUGUAUGAAGAAGGCCUUCGGGUUGUAAAGUACUUUCAGUCGGGAGGAAGGUGGUAAGGUUAAUAACCUUAUCAAUUGACGUUACCGACAGAAGAAGCACCGGCUAACUCCGUGCCAGCAGCCGCGGUAAUACGGAGGGUGCAAGCGUUAAUCGGAAUUACUGGGCGUAAAGCGCACGCAGGCGGUUGAUUGAGUCAGAUGUGAAAUCCCCGGGCUUAACCCGAGAAUUGCAUCUGAUACUGGUCAGCUAGAGUCUUGUAGAGGGGGGUAGAAUUCCAUGUGUAGCGGUGAAAUGCGUAGAGAUGUGGAGGAAUACCGGUGGCGAAGGCGGCCCCCUGGACAAAGACUGACGCUCAGGUGCGAAAGCGUGGGGAGCAAACAGG
rnacentral:rRNA from 1 species